GAGCUGUGAGGAUUAAUGGCUUCAGCGUAGGAUGGGUCCUUCGCAAUUCUCUGAUUUAUGAUGAGAUAUGGAGGGUAACUGAGCUC
rfam:Capsella rubella cultivar Monte Gargano unplaced genomic scaffold scaffold_2, whole genome shotgun sequence.